rnacentral:tRNA from 1 species
GCGGGGUUGCCCUAGCCUGGUAGGGGGCAGGCCUGCUAAGCCUGUGGUCCUUUGGGCCGCGCGGGUUCAAAUCCCGCACCCCGCGCCA